rfam:Ictidomys tridecemlineatus contig052256, whole genome shotgun sequence.
UGGGGUUUGGCUCAGCAGUAGAGCACUUGCCUUGCACGUGCAAGACCCUGGGUUCAAUCCUCAGCACCACAU